UGCAUCUGUACUUACUAUCAAGGUAAUACAGUUCCCGUCACACUGUAUUUAGAGGACGGCAUAGCUACAGCUAAUAGGAGAGCAAGAGCAAGGCAAAGUAAGGAAGGAGAGACACAGACUGCUGCUGCAUACACUUGUCUAUAUAUUGCUCUUUGUGGUAACCUGUGUAAACAUGCUGACACGUUGCUCUGCCUGGUUAAAAAGCACCAGAGCUGCAUUCUUGACUGAUCCAGCUGGAUUUUACUCCUGUGAGAAGUAAGAAUGGCAAAGCCUGCAAGGAAGAGGUGAAACCGAACACUUGUAUGUUCUGAGGACCUGUGACUGACAAGAUUGUUCAUCCAAGAGCUGUGAUUUCCAGAAAGUUGGGCACUGGGAAAAUUUCUGGGCACAGAAAUCCCUAAAUCUAAAACCAUCUUUUUCAGUUUGUGCCCACUGCCUCUCGUCCUGUCACUGGGCACCACCGAGAAGAGUGUGGCCCUGUCAUCUUUACAACGUCCUACCAGAUAUUUGUGAACACUGACAAAAUCACCCAGAGCCUUCUUUUCUCCAGACUGAGUCACAGCUCUCUCAGCCACUUCUCAUAUGAGAGAUGCCCUUAAUCAUCUUUAAGGAUUUAACCAUCAUUUUAAGCAGCAACAUGACUUAACAUGACUAUUUUCCACAAAAAAUGACCUCUGACUCCAAAUAAAAGCAAAAAGAUUGAACUGUGUCUACAUUACCUAAAAGUAUCAGAACACAAUUUAAGUGUUGACACUACAAUGUCUCUAGACUUAAAGCUGGAUAUAUUUCCUACGUGUAACUAGAAUUUCAUAUACUUUAAGAAAUGAAUUGUUUUGGUUUUUUUGCUAUAGCAGAAUCACUAGAAUUACCACUUACAAUAAGCACAGGGUAGAAGUGUAGAAGAUAGCAUUAUGAGUAUUAUUGUCAUUAUAAAAUAAAAAACCGACUGUGAUUCUUCGGGAACAAAAGCCAACUGUAUCAACAGGCACUCUCAGUAAAAUUAACAAGUUCUUUGCCUUUCACAUAGCUACGGUGAAAAAAAAAAAAUCAAUCAAAGCAACACCCUUAAUAUAUAAAAAUUAAUUAUAUUUCCAAUAGAAACUAUACUCUUGUAUCAAAUGAUAGUAGUUUGAUG